rnacentral:siRNA from 1 species
ACUUCCAGGAGCUGUUCUCUGACU